CUGGGUUGGUGAGUCCUGGAGCCUGAGAAAUGUAGGACCUGAAUUCCCUUGUUCUACAGCUGUGGAAAUGGUGCAGAACAAAGAACUGGGAUAGAGCUGCAGGGAGAGACUGGCUUUGGGAAUCAGACACCAAGACAAAUGACCUUUGCAUGACUUUGAACUAUUGUUUGUAUUUGGGAAUCCUGGCCAUCUAAAGACUUUCUGUUCCUUUUUGCCAGCCAGAGUAGGGGAAACAUUUACACUGAAAAGUAAUCCUUCUACUGCCCUUACCAUGCACGUUGAGGACUUGUAGCACACCCUGGCUAAGAUUUGAUCAUAGAAUGGUUUGGUUUGGAAGGGACCUACAGCAUCUGUGGGUCUAUCUUUUGAAGGACAGGGCUUUUACAAACAGGAAGAAGUGCUUAUCGUCAUCUGGAUUCACAUCAGCAAUAGUUCCCCUUUUUUCAGGUGAUACAGCCUGUGUGAGCUGCUUGGACACAUUUCUUCCUCUACUCUUCUGGCAAAGAAGGAUGUGGCUUCCUGACUCUCAAGUUCAGGGGAUUUUCAGCCAGCAUUGUUCCAUUAAAGAAACACCACCUGAGUGCUCUCAAGCAGAGCUAAGACCCAGCAUUGCUUUAAAAGAAGGAUAUCAUCUCAGCAAAGGAGAUGGGUCUCUCCAGAAGUGUGCCAAUGUGGAGUACAGAUCCUUUACAUACUGGAAACUGCAGAGCAAGCUUUGGGUUAAGAUCCUAAAGGUGAUUGGUUUUGCUCUGGUGGUGUCCCUCUUCCUUCAAGCCCUCUGUUAGAAGUAUGCACUGUUCCUUGAUCUCUUAAUCACCAAAAUGUUGACGCCAUCUGCCACAAGUGAUUGCUCUAUCACUAGCCAGAGGCCUGACUCUGCUCACAAAAAGCUGUUUGAACGUUCACUUCUUUGGGAGCUCAAGCUUCUCCAGUGUCACUCUUGAACUACAUGCAAAGUU